rnacentral:rRNA from 1 species
GAGGGGCCUACGUUCGAUUAGCUAGUUGGCAGGGUAAGGGCCUACCAAGGCGACGAUCGAUAGCUGGUCUGAGAGGACGAUCAGCCACACUGGGACUGAGACACGGCCCAGACUCCUACGGGAGGCAGCAGUGGGGAAUUUUUCGCAAUGGGGGCAACCCUGACGAAGCAAUGCCGCGUGAAUGAAGAAGGCCUUCGGGUUGUAAAGUUCUUUCGUGGGAGACGAAAAGGUAAUCGCUAAUAUCGGUUACUGUUGACGUGAACCCAAGAAGAAGCACCGGCUAACUCCGUGCCAGCAGC